rnacentral:rRNA from 1 species
ACGGGGUGCAGCAGGCGCGAAAACUCCGCAAUGUUCGAAAGAACGACGGGGGAACUCCAAGUGCACUUGCGCAAGCAAGUGGUUUUUAGUAGUGUAAAUAGCUGUUAGAAUAAGAGCUGGGUAAGACCGGUGCCAGCCGCCGCGGUAACACCGGCAGCUCGAGUGGUGACCGCUUUUAUUGGGCCUAAAGCGUUCGUAGCCGGUUCAGUAAGUCUUUGGGCAAAUCUUCUCGCUUAACGAAAAGAAUUCCGAAGAUACUGCUGGACUUGGGGCCGAGAGAGGUUAGAGGUACUCCUGGGGUAGGGGUGAAAUCCUAUAAUCCUGGGGGGACCGCCAGUGGCGAAGGCGUCUAACCAGAGCGGACCCGACGGUGAGGGACGAAAGCCAGGGGCGCGAACGGGAUUAGAUACCCCGGUAGUCCUGGCCGUAAACGCUGCAUGCUAGGUGUUGCAUGCUCUACGGGGGCAUGCAGUGCCGAAGAGAAGUUGAUAAGCGUGCCGCCUGGGAAGUAUUAUCGCAAGGUAGAAACUUAAAGGAAUUGGCGGGGGAGCACCACAAGGGGUGGAGUCUGCGGUUCAAUUGGAUUCAACGCCGGAA